rnacentral:rRNA from 1 species
GAUGAACGCUGGCGGCGUGCCUAAUACAUGCAAGUCGAGCGAACGGACGAGAAGCUUGCUUCUCUGAUGUUAGCGGCGGACGGGUGAGUAACACGUGGAUAACCUACCUAUAAGACUGGGAUAACUUCGGGAAACCGGAGCUAAUACCGGAUAAUAUUUUGAACCGCAUGGUUCAAAAGUGAAAGACGGUCUUGCUGUCACUUAUAGAUGGAUCCGCGCUGCAUUAGCUAGUUGGUAAGGUAACGGCUUACCAAGACAACGAUGCAUAGCCGACCUGAGAGAGUGAUCGGCCACACUGGAACUGAGACACGGUCCAGACUCCUACGGGAGGCAGCAGUAGGGAAUCUUCCGCAAUGGGCGAAAGCCUGACGGAGCAACGCCGCGUGAGUGAUGAAGGUCUUCGGAUCGGAAAACUCUGUUAUUAGGGAAGAACAUAUGUGUAAGUAACUGUGCACAUCUUGACGGUACCUAAUCAGAAAGCCACGGCUAACUACGUG